rnacentral:rRNA from 1 species
GCCAGACUCCUACGGGAGGCAGCAGUGGGGUCUCUUUCACAAUGUUUUUCCCCCUGAUUCCCCCCCGCCGCGCCCUUCCAGAAGCGCGUCCCCGCGUAAAUCCUCUCCAGCAGGCAACAACAUGACGGUCACGGAAGAAGAAGCCACGGCUAACUACGUGCCAGCAGCCGCGGCAAUACGUAGGGGGCAAGCGUUAUCCGGAUUUACUGGGUGUAAAGGGGGCGCGGACGGCGAUGCAAGCCAGGAGUGAAAGCCCGGGGCCCAACCCCGGGACUGCUCUUGGAACUGCGUGGCUGGAGUGCAGGAGGGGCAGGCGGAAUUCCUGGUGUAGCGGUGAAAUGCGUAGAUAUCAGGAGGAACACCGGUGUGGAGGGCGGCCUGCUGGACUGCAACUGACGUUGAGGCCCGAAAGCGUGGGGAGCAAACAGGAUUAGAUACCCUAGUAU